GACAAUCCUCCGUUCCUCUUCUAAGAGCAGCAUUAACGCUGUAUCUUAGAAGAACUCUUAGUGUAAUUGUGAUUUAAAGAAAAAGAAAAAAUGGAAUUACCACAAGAGGUGCCUCUUACUUAAGAGUUGGAAGAGCUGUGUCUUAGAGGACAGGUGUCGCUAUGAAAGAAAAAACAGAAGUCUUUCCUCUCUUCGUCUGUAUAUCUUCCUCGCCAUCUCUCUCCCUAUAGCCUAUAACGGACCUCUCCUUCCUCAGAUCAUAUGCUCCGGCGUUGUUUCUUACAACAAACUAAAGAAUAAAGAUCGUGGCUUUGAUGAAUCUGAAGCUAAUGAGUAUCGAGACCAGAAGAAAGACAAGGACUUUGAGAAUUUCGUGGGGUUGCAGCUUGGUGGUGACGGACGCGGAGUAGGUGGGUGGAUAUUGUGACGAAGUACCUCCAAGCGAAAUCAUUGUCUCUUAGCCCUUUUGGUAGAUUCACCUGCAAAACAAGACUCAGAUUGGGAAUUUCAAUGCCCCGAUCUACCUGCAAAACAAGACUCAUAUUGGGAAAAUAGAUGUAAUCAAUCUCAAUCUCAAUCUCAAUCUCAAAACUUUUACUUGCAAUGGCCUUGGGAUGAAGAAAUUUCUUUGGUGAAUCGCAGAACUUUUAAGUUAGGUGAUAUGUAUAGCCUUUGUACGUUGAGUUAGAGACAUCAGCCUUUGUAGCAGGGUUUGAGUAUUGAUCAUAGUCUGAGAGCAAGAGAAACCAUCAAUUUUUAGGUUCUCUGCUUCCACAAGUUUUCAUUUCUUUGUUUUUAGGUUCUAUGCUUCCAAAAAAUUUUCAUUUCCUUGUUUUCUUGUUCUUUGUUAUAUGGAAAGAUUAGAAACUUGUGUUGAAAUGUCAAUCGUCAAGUUCUAACCUAGUGCAGCAUCAACGUCCAUUAUAAAAUGUUGUAUUACCAGAAACUUGUAUAAAUGAUAUGGAUAAUGAAAAUGUAUUCACAAGAUCAAAUGUUUCUU